GGGACAUUAACCGAGUUUACAACACCCAAACCCAAUGUGAACCAUACCAAACUGUUGCCUCGGCGGGGUCACGCCCCGGGCGCGUCGCAGCCCCGGAACCAGGCGCCCGCCGGAGGGACCAACCAAACUCUUUUCUGUAGUCCCCUCGCGGACGUUAUUUCUUACAGCUCUGAGCAAAAAUUCAAAAUGAAUCAAAACUUUCAACAACGGAUCUCUUGGUUCUGGCAUCGAUGAAGAACGCAGCGAAAUGCGAUAAGUAAUGUGAAUUGCAGAAUUCAGUGAAUCAUCGAAUCUUUGAACGCACAUUGCGCCCGCCAGUAUUCUGGCGGGCAUGCCUGUCCGAGCGUCAUUUCAACCCUCGAACCCCUCCGGGGGGUCGGCGUUGGGGACCUCGGGAGCCCCUAAGACGGGAUCCCGGCCCCGAAAUACAGUGGCGGUCUCGCCGCAGCCUCUCCUGCGCAGUAGUUUGCACAACUCGCACCGGGAGCGCGGCGCGUCCACGUCCGUAAAACACCCAACUUCUGAAAUGUUGACCUCGGAUCAGGUAGGAAUACCCGCUGAACUUAAGCAUAUCAAUAAACCGGGAGGAAAAAUGAAUUU
rnacentral:rRNA from 1 species